UACGUAGGGUGCGAGCGUUAAUCGGAAUUACUGGGCGUAAAGCGUGCGCAGGCGGUGAUGUAAGACCGAUGUGAAAUCCCCGGGCUUAACCUGGGAACUGCAUUUGUGACUGCAUCGCUGGAGUACGGCAGAGGGGGAUGGAAUUCCGCGUGUGGCAGUGAAAUGCGUAGAUAUGCGGAGGAACACCGAUGGCGAAGGCAAUCCCCUGGGCCUGUACUGACGCUCAUGCACGAAAGCGUGGGGAGCAAACAGG
rnacentral:rRNA from 1 species